GAGGUUAUUAUAACAGCAAAUGGGAACUAAAUGUGGAACGGGAUGUUCAGAAAGCACCAAUCAGGUGUCCACAAACUUUUGACCAUAUAUGUGUCAUUAUGUGUGCUUUCCUUAGUGUCAGAUGCAUGGACGAUUCUAAAUCCCAGCAACCCAUAUGGCUUACACACACACAUGGCUGCUACAGACGCCAUAAUAAUACAGUUGGAUCAUGUUAUAUGAACGGCUUUCGGACAAUCGCAUGUGUCUUCUCAGUAAUGAAGGCUGGGGACGUGAGCCAGCGCUAAAUUCUUAUAACAAGUUUGGUUGGAGGAUUUCUAAUAGCACUCGCGUUAAACAUAUGGCGAGGAAAUCUGUUGCUAUUAAUAGCGGUGAAUAAUCAGCUCCGCCCAGGCUCUCUCCAGAUUUCUAAAUGUUCGUUGGCGGUCCACAAAGAAGUCAAUAAUCCUGCAAUUACCAAACUAAAUGUUUUACUCACCAUCUGGGCGUGAAAUCGUUUGGAAAUUUCAAACAGCCCACUUGGAAUUGCGAUGGAUUUGUGGAUGCUGAUAUUUAUUCAAUCAGCUGGCGUGUGAUUGGGAGCGGCGCUAAUACGACGAGGUCAGACCUACACACUGACGGGAAGGUCGGCAAUUUAUGGAAUACGGCAGCGUAAUGACAAGUUCUAUAAAGAGAAAUGGCGGUCGACAGAUCGGCCAGGAUUAGUGAGAACACUGCCACCAUCUGGUAAGAAGUGAAAAUGACUGCAGAAGUGGAGUUCUGAUGGGAUCUCGUGAACUUUACCUGUCUGUCUGUCUGUCUGUCUGUCUGUGUCUGUGCCUGUCUACGUGUCUGUUGGUCUCGCUGUCUGUAUGUCUGUUGGUGUAUGUCUGUAAAUGUCUACCCAUCU